rnacentral:rRNA from 1 species
UGGGGAAUUUUGCGCAAUGGGCGAAAGCCUGACGCAGCAACGCCGCGUGGGUGAUGAAGGUCUUCGGAUCGUAAAACCCUGUCGUCAGGGACGAAGGUCGGGGGGUGAAUAGCUCCUUGGCUUGACGGUACCUGGAGAGGAAGCCCCGGCUAACUCUGUGCCAGCAGCCGCGGUAAUACAGAGGGGGCAAGCGUUAUUCGGAAUUAUUGGGCGUAAAGGGCGCGUAGGCGGUGUCUUAAGUGGGAUGUGCAAUCCCCGGGCUUAACCUGGGAACUGCAUCCCAGACUGGGACGCUGGAGUACUGGAGAGGGUGGUGGAAUUCCACGUGUAGCGGUGAAAUGCGUAGAGAUGUGGAGGAACACCAGUGGCGAAGGCGGCCACCUGGACAGUAACUGACGCU